CUAUUUCAGUAUUUGGAGGAAAGGGACCUUCUCAAAUUCUAAGUUUACAAGACACUAAGCAUAACAAGUCCUGUCAGCUGAUUCCCCUCCUUUACCGGUGUCGGCAACUGAGAUUCUGAGAGAUUAAGUGAAAACUUUGAAGCUGGAGGUACAGAAGUGGCUUUCUCCACCGCGCAAAAUGGCUUCCCUCUCCUCAACCAGAAGUAGUAAUAAUGUCCCUCGUAAGCAGCUCGGUGUAUGGGAAGAUGCCCUGCUCUGUUAGGUACGUUUCCACUCCCGCCGUAUUCCAGCAGGAGAGAAAUGCAGUCAGGAUUGCCCCCUCCUGCGGCCUCGAACAACACUGACGCCCCAUCGUCCGCCAAAGCAAACACAUCACCACCUGGCAAUAUAAGACAUAUGGCAGAGGAGUGAUAACUGGAAUUAUCUUGAAAUUGUCAUGAGAGUCACCUUAAUAAUAACCUGCUGUUUUCCUUUCCAGCUAGGAAUUAAAAUUAAAAGUAUAGGAUCAA